CUACGGGAGGCACCAGUGAGGAAUAUUGCACAAUGGGGGGAACCCUGAUGCAGCAACGCCGCGUGGAGGAUGACGCAUUUCGGUGUGUAAACUCCUUUUAUAUGUCAAGAAAAUGACGGUAGCAUAUGAAUAAGCACCGGCCAACUCCGUGCCAGCAGCCGCGGUAAUACGGAGGGUGCAAGCGUUACUCGGAAUCACUGGGCGUAAAGGACGCGUAGGCGGGUUGGAAAGUCAGGUGUGAAAUCCUACAGCUUAACUGUAGAACGGCACUUGAAACUUCUAAUCUAGAGUAUGGGAGGGGGAGAUGGAAUUAGUGGUGUAGGGGUAAAAUCCGUAGAUAUCACUAGGAAUACCUAAAGCGAAGGCGAUCUCCUGGAACAUUACUGACGCUAAGGCGUGAAAGCGUGGGGAGCAAACAGGAUUAGAUACCCGAGUAGUC
rnacentral:rRNA from 1 species